rnacentral:rRNA from 1 species
UACGAAGGGAGCUAGCGUUACUCGGAAUCAUUGGGCGUACAGCGUGCGCAGGCGGCUUUAUAAGUCAAAAGUGAAAGCCUGGGGCUUAACCUCAGAAUUGCUUUUGAUACUGUAUCGCUAGAGUGUCAGAGGGGAUAGCGGAAUUCCUAGUGUAGAGGUGAAAUUCGUAGAUAUUAGGAGGAACACCGGUGGCGAAGGCGGCUAUCUGGCUGAAUACUGACGCUGUUGCACGAAAGCCAGGGGAGCAAACGGG